ACACGCAUGACACACUGCAUAUCAAUAAGCGGAGGAAAAGAAACUAACAAGGAUUCCCCUUAGUAACGGCGAGUGAAGCGGGAAGAGCUCAAAUUUGAAAUCUUCAAGGUUCUACCUUGACGAAUUGUAGUUUAAAGAAGUGUUUUCUGUUAGUAGAGUGGUAAAAGUUCUUUGGGAAUAGGACAUCAUAGAGGGUGAGAAUCCCGUAUUUGAUCACUUUCUACUAGCUUUGUGAUACACUUUCAAAGAGUCGGAUUGUUUGGGAAUGCAGUCCAAAAUGGGUGGUAAAUUUCAUCUAAAGCUAAAUAUUGGCGAGAGACCGAUAGCGAACAAGUACCGUGAGGGAAAGAUGAAAAGAACUUUGAAAAGAGAGUUAAACAGUACGUGAAAUUGUCAAAAGGGAAGCGUUUGACACCAGUGUUGUUUUUCCGAAAAUCAAUUACGAAUGUUUUAUUUUUGAGAAGUUAUGACUUCAUCGGCUUGCUUCUCUCUUUACUGAAACUUUCUUAAUGCACUUUUCGGUUAACAAGUCAACAUCGAUUUCUUUUGUUGUAAAAGGGUAUGAGGAAGGUGGCUUUCUUUUCGGAGAAAGUGUUUAUAGCCUUGUACCUCUGCAAUCGGAGAGAUUGAGGUCUGCAGCGUAGAUCCUUCGGGGUUAGAUACAUUUGUGCUAAGCUAUAGCCUUUCAUAGACAACUUGUUGACUAUGAUCAGUCAUGUAGCUUACUCGCUUAUGCUAUUUUACCUACGCUUAGGAUGUUGA
rnacentral:rRNA from 1 species